GACGAACCGUGCGAACGUUAUGCGGAAUCAUUGGGCUUAAAGCGCGUGUAGGCGGAUCUGUGCGUCUGUCGCUGAAAUCCCCCGGCUCAACCGGGGAACGGGCGCGGAUACGACGGGUCUGGAGGGGCAUAGGGGGACCUGGAACUUCCGGUGGAGCGGUGAAAUGCGUUGAGAUCGGAAGGAACGCCCGUGGCGAAAGCGAGGUCCUGGAUGCCUACUGACGCUGAGACGCGAAAGCCAGGGGAGCGAACGGG
rnacentral:rRNA from 1 species